rnacentral:snRNA from 1 species
GUGCUUGCUUCAGCAGCGCAUACAUUAAAAUUGGAAUGAUACAGAGAAGAUUAUCAUGGCCCCUGUGCAAGGACGGAACACAAAUUCAUGUAGUGUUGCAUAUUUUU